CAGCAGCCGCGGUAAUACGAAGGGGGCUAGCGUUGCUCGGAAUUACUGGGCGUAAGGGGAGCGUAGGCGGACAUUUAAGUCAGGGGUGAAAUCCCAGAGCUCAACUCUGGAACUGCCUUUGAUACUGGGUGUCUUGAGUGUGAUAGAGGUAUGUGGAACUCCGAGUGUAGAGGUGAAAUUCGUAGAUAUUCGGAAGAACACCAGUGGCGAAGGCGACAUACUGGAUCAUUACUGACGCUGAGGCUCGAAAGCGUGGGGAGCAAACAGGAUUAGAUACCCCUGUAGUCCCUGUCUCUUAUAC
rnacentral:rRNA from 1 species